CCCGCUGAGUUUAAGCAUAUCAAUAAGCGGAGGAAAAGAAACAAACAAGGAUUCCCUUAGUAACGGCGAGCGAACCCGGAAAAGCCAAGCUUAAAAAUCGGACGUCUGGUGUUCGAAUUGUAGUCUGGAGAAGUGUGGGAACCGAAAUUUGCACUGUCGAUUUCCGUUUAAAUAAGGAAACUAGGAAAACCCUAAUUUCCCAGAGGUCCCGGAUCUCUGCGAGAGCCAACGACAAGUGACCGAAUAUAUGCGGAAAUCAUGAAAAGAUAACAAACGAGUUUUGAGAAA
rnacentral:ncRNA from 2 species